AAAUUGAAGAGUUUGAUCAUGGCUCAGAUUGAACGCUGGCGGCAGGCCUAACACAUGCAAGUCGAACGGUAGCACAGAGAGCUUGCUCUCGGGUGACGAGUGGCGGACGGGUGAGUAAUGUCUGGGAAACUGCCUGAUGGAGGGGGAUAACUACUGGAAACGGUGGCUAAUACCGCAUAACGUCGCAAGACCAAAGAGGGGGACCUUCGGGCCUCUUGCCAUCAGAUGUGCCCAGAUGGGAUUAGCUUGUUGGUGAGGUAACGGCUCACCAAGGCGACGAUCCCUAGCUGGUCUGAGAGGAUGACCAGCCACACUGGAACUGAGACACGGUCCAGACUCCUACCAGACUCCUA
rnacentral:rRNA from 1 species